ACAAAUGCUACCUUUUAUUGUGUUUAUUAAAAGAGUAAUAUGAACAGAACUGUAGCUUGAGGAAAUUAGUCAGAUAGCAAGAUGCAGUUUGAUUUGGAAUGCAAAGAAACUGGGGGCACUGGGAUAAAUCAAAUGUCACUUCAACUAAUAUUUAAUGAGCAUAUACUACAUGUUAGAAACUGUGCUAAAUGCUAAGAAUAUAAAGAUGAAUCAGGAUGCCUGGGUGGCUCAGCAGUUGGGCAUCUGCCUUCAGCUCAGAGCGUUAUUCCACGGUCUGGGGAUCAGGCUUCCUACAUGGAACCUGCUUCUCCCUCUGCCUCUGUGUCUGCCUCUCUCUCUCUCUCUCUCUCUCUGUGUCUCUCAUGAAUAAAUAAAAUCUAAAAAUAAAAGAUGAAUUAAGCAGAGUUUUCAGGAUUCAUUCAGGAAGAUCUAUUAGCAAACAGCCAUAGAUACAGGCAUUUCAUGAAACUGGAUCCACUGAUUCAUUUGACAAAUGCCAGGGAAGUAGCAAUUGUGAUGACAAGACGGAAAUAGGUUUGUUAUUAUAUAUAUAUAUAGUGGUUAAAGUAAUAAGAUAGGAUAUUAUCCUAUAAUAGUGGUUAUAUAUAUAUAUAUAAUGGUUAAAGUAAUAGGAUAGGAUAUUAUUAUAAGAAAAAGAAAGGUGUUAAUGAUAGUUCUGAGGCCUUAAGACUUGAGAGGAUGGAGGUCUCAUUAAUAGAAAUAAGCAACAUGAAAAAUAUCAGGUAAGGGAGAGAUAAAAUUGAGUUUCCUUUUGCACAUAUUGAGUUAAAGAGGUGUCAGGUCAUCUCAGUGCAGAUGAAUUCAAAGACAUUUUGAAAUAGAAUCACCAUGGGUAGUAAUAUGCGUAGUUGAAGCUGAUUUACAGAAUUCAAGGAAAAUGAACGUGCACUUUCAGGUUAUUUUUGUAACAAUAUGAUUUGGAUCACAUGUUUGUGUAUCUACAGUGCAUUUACAGAUAUAGAGAAAGGAGUGUGUGUUUAUGUUUGAUGUUUACCCUACAUCAGCAGUUCAAAAAAAUUACUACACUGUUUCUACUCUAUUAAUGACAGUCUGAAUUUGGAAGGCUUGAUAAGUUGUUUACAAGGAAGUUCAGAGGGAGAAAUCAGUGCAUGUUUGCAGAAUAUUGUGAAAACAUUUUUCUCAGGAUGUGUUGCUGGAAAUGGCAAUUAGUCAAUGUAGGGAAACUGAUGUAUCGUUAGACAUUAAGUCACACUAAAACAAACACCCAGACCAAUGCAGUUAAGCUUCCAAAAGAAUUAAUGAAAUUAUGUUGAUACAUAAAAAAGUUUCACAGAAUUUACAUUUGUUACCCAUGAAUUCUCAUUAGAAUUUUUGGAAUAAGCCAAAAGGGAAGCUUUCAUAUUGAUAUUUUAUGGACAAAUACAGUGAGGAAUGGGGAAAUGAGGGGUUUAGAGCCUCAUAGACAAAUAGAAUGAAUGAGUGUCUAAAAGUUUUAUGUAAAUAUCUGCUGAAAGUUAGGCUUUGUGCUAGGAACCUUCACACUGGCUCUUUUGUUUUGCCCUCAUGGUAAUCCCGUGCAUGGACUAAGUAUGACAGU
rnacentral:lncRNA from 1 species